UCUCUGGUGGUCCAGUGGCUAAGACUCCACGCUCCCAAAAUGGGGGGCCCAGGUUCAAUCCCUGGUCGGGGAA
rnacentral:tRNA from 1 species